rnacentral:misc_RNA from 1 species
AUCACGCUAUGCAUCAAUGAAACACAAUUUACAGGAACUAUCACAUUCCAAAAUAUAGUCAUUUAGUUUCCAUUUGAAGGUACAUAGGUAGAAAAGUAUAUGAACCCAAAAUCACUGGAAACCAUCACAAAUAUGAUUUUCAAUUCCCUGAAAUGAAGUACAAUUGUAGGGGGAUUAUUGGAGUAGCUCAACAAAAACAUCCUCAAAAUAUAGCCAUAAAGUUCCAAGAAGGCCUUUGCUAAGACCUUAUUUCAUCGCUAUCAAGCACCCUAGGCAUGAGAUUUGUUCAAUUAACCUUCUAGUGCUGAUGCUCCCGAUAUAAUCUCAAUCAACUCAGUAGUAAUUGAUGCUUGACGAGUUCUGUUAGAAAAUCAUCAAACAAAUUAUUAAAAUCACGAGGACAAGAUAAAAGAAUAGAAAGGACUAGCUCAACUCCAAUCGCAUUACAUGUUCAACAACAAAUAUAGGUAGAUUAGCUAUAAAUCCAUUAUGAUUAACAGACUAACAGACCAUCUUUUACUGGAAGGCCAAUAUUUUAGAUCACAAAGAUGGACCAAGUUGGAUAUUUAAAGGUUACAAAAAAAAGAAAGAGAGAGAGAGGAUUUUUUUUUCCCAGCUAAAGUGAAAGCAAACAUUCAGUUUGCAUGUAUUGUUUCAGUAGACAGAGCAGGAGAGACCUGUUAUAAGUAAGUGUCAGACGAUCAAGCAUCUCGCCAGCAUUUCUGCUUGAGCUGUCCAUAGCAGACAUCCUUGCUCCUUGUUCACUGCAAGCAUUCUCCAAUACAGCAUUGAACAGGACCUAGGGAAGUAAGAAACAUGUUCAAGAAAAAUUCCGGAAAUUAUCAUAAAAUAACAUGUGCGAAACACCUCAAGUUAUUAACAAUUGAUUUGUCAUAGAAAUAUCAGGCCCCCAUACAGCCAACAAAACAAAUAUUAAGAUUAAGCAUCAAACAAAUUGGCAAAGCAUCAAUGCCCAAGAGGUAGCCAAAAGUAAUAUCACAAACUACGGACGUUUUUCGGCAGAAUCAAUUCCUUGUGUCUAGACCACAAAAUUGCAUUUAGCAGUGAAAGUUCUAGAGCAUUAAGCUUCCAGAUUUCAGUUUACAUGGUAAUUAUUUCCAAAAUGAUUUAUUCAGUCUCAAAACACCAAGAAAUAUAGCAAGAGUUUAGCAAGGCUUACACAAGAAAACUGGAACUCGGCAAGAUUCUGAAGUAUUUCACCCUUUGUUUCACCACCUUCAAUCUCAUAAGAGUCAAGUUCUCCAAGUUUUCCCCCAGAUUCAGCCUCUUUCUCCACAACCUAAAUCAACAUAUCAUACAACACACAUCAAUUCAAAGUAAGACUAAAUUAUUAGGUGCAGCCUUCGGAAUCACCUCUGGAGAUAAAACAGUUGACAUGGUUGGAAUAAAUGAAACAACUGAAUGGAACUUGUUGAAGACAAUCCUCAAAGCAUCAUAUUCCACAUUCUUUAAGAUGUCAUCUGCCAGAACAGAGACCUGAGUAUAGUUCAGAGGAUUCUUCUGCAACUCAGUAAUGGAUAGUUCAAUGUCCUUCCUCGAGUCACGAAUCAACUGAGCCUUCGCCUUUUCUCCCAAGAUGACAUAUUUUGUUUCUUUCUCAGGACCAGCAGUCAACUUGUGUAUAGCCUUGCUUAUCUUGACAGAUGUGGAGUUAAUUCCUCCACAUAGACCUUUGUCUGAAGAAAUAGUGACAAUUACAUUCUUCUUCACAUCCACACUAGGAACAUCGCCAAGAAGAGCAGUAAAUGGCUGCCAUAGGCCACGGGAAUUUUCUGCUCCAGUUUGAAUUGCACGUAACUUUGAGGCUGCAACCAUCUUCAUAGCCUUUGUAAUUUUCUGAAUAUUCUUGACACUCUUCAUUCGAUUUCUGACAACUUGAGUUGAGAUAGAACGUAAUCCAAGAGGGGUCUGCUCCUCAGCAAUAAGAGAGGAUCGGAUGGCGGUCAUCGGUUGGGAACUGAUGAGGGGGGCAGCGAAUCGCCUCCCUUCGCGUCUCAAAGCAGCCAUCGCCAUUGUUGAAAGAAUCUAUCAAUGAAACCCUAGCGGCCUGCGUGCUGUAGAUCCAAGCUGUUCGUUAUAGCUUCGAGCUCUAGUGUUUUUUCCACUUUAAUUCUCUUUUUUGUUAACAAUGGAAAAAUGGGAAAUACCUAUUUGCCAUUUAUAAGCGAAACGCUCUCGUCUUAAUAUUUUGUUAUGAGCAGAAGCAGAGAAGUGCAGAUGCUGCGCUGCAGUGACAAGUUUGUUAAGGGGAGGCUUAAAGGACGGGAGCUGAAGCGGUCAAGCAGCGCAGCGUGGAUAAUUGAUUUCAGUUAUUUUCUUAUUUUGUUCCUAUUUUUCUGGUUGUCCAUUUUGCAUGUAAUCAGUAGUGGUUCCUACUUUGUAGGCAGCAGAUAUCUCUUUGUUAUUUCUCUUUGUUUAUUUAAGUUGAACUGGGAAUGGAAUAAAGAAUCAGAAUUUCAAUCUUCAAUUUAUUGUGUUAAGAGAUCGAAGGGUUCUCUCAUUUAACGAGCCCUUUUUUUUAACAAUACACCAUAGGUUCUCAAAGGAGAAAGUCUAAAAAAAAUUGCCCGUUGCACACUCCACAAGCUGAAUUUACCAUUAAUCGUCCUGUAACUCGAUCACAGAUUCGGGACCAUAACAAAUUGGUAUCAGAGCCAGAAGUUAUGGGCGAUUCAUCUAAUAGUAUCCAAAAGCAACUUGAAACCUUCA